AUGUUCCUUCUCUUCACCCUUCCUGGACGGCCGCCUCCGAAAGGACUAGUGAGGGAGAAAUCAAUGUGCUUCUGUGAGUCCACCCUCACCAUGAAUGAAGGUACGUUAACCACCUGCCUUCCGACCCUGAUCAUGUAAAUUUUGUCAGAACCCAAAAGCUUUUAACUAUUUCAGAUUAAACAUUAUAAUAAACAUAAACGAAGUAUAGCACGACUGAGUCAGAACCCAAAACCUUUCAUACCUACUAAUAUGCAAAGAAGCAGAAGAAAUUACAAGACCAAAGAAAUAUACAAGCAUGCAUGAACUUGCAAUCUCAUUCUUAAGCAGAUGAGUCAUACCGAACUCUAUUAGUCAAAUAUAUAUUGUUCAAACUAAAAUAAUUUAAGAGAGGAUUGUUUCUUGUUCAUAUAAGGUUAAAAAAAGUCUCUUGCAGAGACUCUACCCCUCCCCCCAUCUUAUUUAGUACAAGAUCACUUGCAUGCAAAACAGAACAGCCAUACACAAAGGAGACUAGGCAGUUCAGAUGAAUCAGUAAAGAUUAUAAAUGGCAGACAACUUUAACAUUCAAAAUCAUUUAAUAGGAAAUUUCAAACAGAUUUUUCAAUUUAGCAUAUAAUCUCUAAAACAGAAAAAACUAUGAUAUCAUUCGAGAGAAAAAUAAUCAUCUGAACAAACUGAAGUAGAUAACAAUUAUCAAGAAUAUAUCAAUAUAUCAGUUAUAUAUAAGGCAGAGUGAUCACAAUUUAUGCUAGUUGAGCACAGGAUGCAAGGAGCCAAAAAGCAUGGGCCAGAAGGCUCUUUGCUGAUGGUAAGGGUUCGAACUAAUUACAAGUUCAAUUAAACCUACUUUUCACUGGACAAAGGGUGCACUUAACAUGAAGGAAACUGAGAUAAAAUUAUCUAAUACAGCCAUCUAUAUUUCACCGAUAUAUUUUUAAAUCUACUAAAACAUAUAGGCUUUUAUACAAUUAAGAAAUAAAGUUAAAUAUUCAUUCCCUAAUAAAGAAUAAAGAUUAAAUCUAUUCCAGAAAUACACAAAAUUCAGCUGAGCUUUAAAAUUUAUUGAUUCUGAAUUUUUUACCUGAUAUGCCUCUGCCUAAUAAGAACACGGGCAUGGUGAAUCGACUUAGCCAUGCCAGUCUUAAACACAAGGGUCUGAAGACGACGCUCCAAGAAGUUCUCCACAGUCAAAGCCAAGACAUAAUCAAGCUUGUUCUGGCUCUCAUCCAAUAACCCAUAUCUAUUCAUCCUGCG
rnacentral:lncRNA from 1 species